CACAAAGAAGUGAAGUAUUCAGAUCCAUCUAGCCCACUGUUUUUGAACUUAUGUCGAGUAAUCAGGUAAACAUGAUUGAGGUAGCAGACACGACAUCAGUAGACUCCUUGUUAAAAAAAUCACAAUUCUUUCUGACCGCCAUUGCAGUAGUAGCCUUUGUAGUUUCUGAUUUGCAAGAAAGAGAUGAAGAGCAGAAUCGAUCCCAUUAGGCGUGCCAAAUUUGUUCGCAACAAAUUUUCGUAGUCGCUAAAAAUUAACUGCAAGCAAAAUAAAUAAAAGAAAAACUGUGAUUUUUAUUAAUGAAUCGUUGUGAGUUUUUAUACGAAGAAUAAAAAUAUUUUAAUUAUAAGUUUUUUACUUUUUAGAGUCCUCACUUAAUUUUGAGAAAACUAAGAAAACUAUUUUUUCAUUUAAUAAAAAUAGGAAAUCAAAUGAAAGAUUUUUAGGGGGGGUUCUGAAAUUCUUAUUAACGUUUUAGGAAGAUUUUGAAAGCAUCUAAGAUGUCCUCUUACUUGCAUUUAUCCAAACAACUAAUCUAUUUGGCUAAAAUAAUCUAACUUGUAAAAAUUACCUAGAGUUCGUUUUAAAAAAAGAGGUAUUAACUAUUUGUGUGAGGUUUAUUGUUUGCAAAGCUAUUCAUCUUUUAGAAUUCAUUAGGAAUUAAUUUUUAAGUAGAUAAAACAUUUACGGAGUUCGCGGGAAUUUGAAUUCUUUAACUUUAAAACUAAUGACAAGUAAAGCAGAUUAAAAAAAAAUAAAAGAGAGAGAGAGAGAGUUGGGUCCAAAUCUGGAUUUUUUGUCCGCCUGAAUCGGUAUUUGGACCCUUUGUUUGUGGGCCUUAGGCCCACUCUACUUGUACCUGUCCUAAAAUGAUCAGAUAAUAGUACAAAGCGGCAAGGGCUUAGGCCCAUGACAUAAUAAAAAUACAACAUACGAAAAUAAAGGGGUCUUCUAAUCUAACUUCUUCGACUUUCUUCAAUUCCUUAAACUUCGGGACCUGUCCGUCGAUUUAAUGACUAGUUGACUCGGAAGAGCACAAGUGGGUCCUCCAUGGUCCAAAUGAAAAUGUGAGGAUGGGGUCCAUAAGACCCAGACAAAUUUAACAUAAAGAAGAGAAAACAAGAGUAAAAUUAGUAUAGGCCCACAUAAUAAAAUCAAGAGAAAAUUGUAUAUAAUAGCAAACUAAUAACCUAAAAUAAAUGGAGUAGCUAGGAUUUGAGUUAAUUGUGCUCCAUAGCAAACGUUUGCAAAAAAUUGUUAGGCGCCUCUCUCCCAAAUAUCUCGCUCGCCACUCUCCUCCAAUCUCUCGCUCGCCUCCUCACCUUUUAUACAACAAGUGUAUAAAAAUUGUCACUAAUUGUAUAUAUCAUAGAAAAUUGUAUAAAUACAUAUAUUUUUGUUCCCCUCUCUCCCUUCUUCCAGAUCUCGCUUGACACUCUCCCAAAUCUCGUUAGCAGCCCUCGCCUUUCUCACUUAUACAAACAAAAGGGAAAUGUAUAAAUUGCGUUUUUGUUUGUAUAAAGCGUAAGACAAUUGUAUAUACACAUGCAAGUACAUAUAUUUUCGUCCUAUACACUUAUAAUUAUACAAUUAAAAUACUCCCCUGCGCGAUUUCUUUUAAAUUAUAUCUAAUUUCUCUCUUUCUCAUUUAUACAAUUCGAUUCAAUUGUAUAUUUCUUGUCAAGUUUCUUUUGUCUCUCUCUUUCUCAUUUUAUACAAAUUUAAAUUGUAUAUAAUGGUUUUAUACAAUUCGUUUUAUACACUUCAUUUUUAUACAGUUCUCUGUCCAAGUGUCUUUCUCUUUCUUGUUUUAUGCACUUCGUUUUAUACAAUAUGCUUCAACUGUAUAUGUAUAGCGAAUUAUAUAGUUUCUACGUUUGCUAUAGAGCGCAAUUAUAUAAAAUUUGUUAUAGCAUACAAGUAUAAAUUUUUUAUUUGCUAUACGUGAAAGUUGUCCUAAAAUCAAAAGCAUGUAAAGAAUGAAACCUAUCUUAUCCUUAAAACCCAAGGAUUUACGGGAAAAGGGGAAUGCUGUCAAUUUAAUAUAUUUAAAACCGGAGUAAAAAAAAUUGAUCUCUUAUCUUUGUCCCUUUUGAAAUCUAUUCUGGGAGACACGAAUAUUCAAGAUAUUAAUCAUUUACUAGUAGAUUUUUAGAGUAAACACUCCAUAAAUAUGAUUAGUAACAUGCUCUACUUUUAUUUUAUUUUAUUUAUUUAUUUUUUCUAAUUAUUAUUUUAAUUCUUUUUAGUAAGACCCGUCAUAAGCAGUAGAUGACUAGCCUUACAGUGACAUAAUUAGUUAUAAAUCAAUUUCCAAAAAUUGGUGGCAAACAUUAUUCUAUAUAUGGAAGAACAGGCAAACUAAAGUCAAACAAGAAAACCUAUGUGUCAUGUAUAAACUUGGUAGGUUAAAAGCAACUUGUUGAUACUAAAUGCAUAAUUAACAAGUCCUAAAUACUAUCACAAAAUGAAAUAAUAGAGGCUCCACUUAAAUGCUUAAACUAGUACAUCAUUUUAGCACUGUAAUAAGAAAUUAUUGCAUACUAUAGGAAAGAAAACCAGACAUGUGAACAUAGUUAUCUUUUUGGGAUUAUCCAAUAUUUCACAUCCAAUUGAUGCUAAAUAUUUUGAAACUAAACAUCAAAGCCGACAUAUAAAGAUAUGAGACAUAAUAGAAGUUUACGACUUAUUAGGCUAUUAUGAGGGAACCGAAGAAAAUUUAAAAAAAAAAAAAAAAAAAAAAACGAGAAUGACUAACAACUAGCUCAUUCCAGAAAAAUGAACGAAUGACAAUUACCCUCUACGAUUUUGUAACUAUACGAAUCACUUUACGAGUAGUAGCAAACAGUGAUGAGGUUGAUGCUUGAAAACAAUGUGUAGCAAAUGAGUCCUAAUUCAGCAAAUAGACUCUUACAUACCCAUAUUCCCAGCUAAAGCUUAAAGCGAAUUGCGUGUAACAUGAUGAACGCCUAGAGAUAUAAACAGGUACAAUUACAAAUCCGACUGCUCAAACUUGAACCAAAACAGACUUCCAACUAAGAACAAGUUAAAAUAGAGAAGACAACAAGAAGAUGUUCAAAAAGCCAACAAAUUGUUUUUCAUACGAUGUUUGGAAUUUAAACAAGACAUAAAUAAAGAAAGGAAGUGAUACCUUCUUCAGGGAAGCAAGACCGGGACUGGGCGAGCAGGAGUCAAACUUUACCACGAGAAGACUUGCACGCGAACAAUAAGCGAAGAUUUCGACGGAAGUUUGAACUUAAACCCUAAAAUAGUUUCUUCUAUGUUCACAAAGUAUACUUAAGUGUAUUCUAAAUUAUUUCUCUCAAGCUUUCUUUGCAUUAGUGAAAAUUUCCUACUAGAAUUUUCCCCCAAACAAAAUCCCCCUCCUUUGUGUGAAGAAAAAGAGAAUAUAUAUGCCCAGAAUUAGGGUUCUCCAAAGGGGGGAAACGAAUUCAAAAUAUGAAAAGAGAAAAACUCACUAUUAAGGGAAUCACUCUUUUCUUUUAAGAAUUUGACUCAUUCCAGAAGAGCAAAGGGGGUGGGCGGCUAGGAUCGAUUGCUUAUCCUUGGGGUGCUAGGUGGUGUGAUCUCCCGUUGCCAAGGGCGGAGCCGCGUGACUUGCUCGAUAGAAAAAUGCAGGUGCCCUUCUGUACGCACAAAAGGCGACGCUGGUCGUGAGUCAUGCGCCAAAGGAUGUGAACGUCUUCAUCGCGCACUUAAUCGUUUGAAAUCAUUGGAAUCACGGAUGGAGUUUCCGCGUUGAUGCCCACGCACUUGUCGUCGUCCGCUCCAUGUAUAUUCGUUGAAGUCUCUGUUGCACAGGAGAUUAUGGAUUUCUUUGUAGUUUGUUGAAGAUGAGAAAGGGUAUUUGGUCCGGAUAUUGGGAUAAGGUGGGUCAGGUAAAUUUAGAUGGCUGGGAUGAUUUUGGGGCUGGGAAUUAAAGGGAAUUACGGGG
rnacentral:lncRNA from 1 species